AGUCAACUUUAACGAUUUCGCGCAGGGGUGACCGUACCGCACUGUCAUUUGGGCAUAGCAAACCUACGCGGACCCGAGCUCAUUACAAUGCGGACAAACACAUACACAUAAACAUACACUCAUUCGUACUGACCCAUCUACAUAUAUACGACACAUAACAUACACAUAUCUACAUAACAGUCAGUGUAGUAAAACCAGUGAAAGAGUUUGAGAUAAGAGUCAUACGUGUCAUAUAUCUGUAGCAGAUCAGACACAUUAAACCUCCAAAACAAAAAAAAACUUUAACGAUUGUGAAUGGAUAUGAAUCUUACUGAACGUCUUAACAGUGUUGGAGCGAGCACACCGAAUAACGUGUGGAGCUGACUGAGAAAGGAGGAAUUAAGCACCUUAAAAGUUAUAUAUGAUCUACAGGAAAAUGAAGUGGAUAUUCAGUGUGAACAGACAAUCGGUAUUGCCGAUUUUGCUCGGCAUAUCCAUAACAACUUUUGGAGUGUCAGUGGCAGUCUUGUUAUAUACUAUGUUUGAGAAGGAUGAUAAUAAUAAAAACAAACAUAGCCAGAUAACAACAACCAAACGUAAAGAAAUAAGUGUGAAAGUUAAAAUACUUGAGAAAUACGUACCUGCUGUUAUUGGUAAAGGUGGCACUGUAAUUAAAAAUAUAGAAGAGUUAACUAACACACGCAUCAAAAUGGAAAGGAGAAACAUAUAUUCUUCAGAACGUGUGUGUUACAUACAGUCCAACGAUAUGAAAAACAUUCACUCGGCACAGAAUAUGAUACAAGCUGUAAUAGAAAAUUUACCUGUUAUUGAAACCUUCUAUUUGUUCGUGCCUCUCGAGGCUUUUAAAGAAGUUUUUAAAAAAAGUUUGAAUGGGAAAUUUGAAUUUGAACACGAGAUUCAAAAGACCUAUGGUGUAAAACUCAGUGUUGAUUAUGACAUUUUUAAAAGUGAAACUGGAAUGAAAAGGAGGAUAAUACUGUCAGGUAUUGCUGACCAAAUAGCGUCAGCCGUUAUUCAUAUAGAAGACAAAAUUCAAGAAGUUGAAGCUCAAGCUCAAUUAGAGAUGCAAUGUACAGCAAAAUCGUUCUCUAAUAAUACUGAUGUUAAAAAUACAGAUGAUCCUGAUAUUGAGACUUAUGAGAUAUUAAUACCACGUGAUGCUUUUAAGAAAAUCAUAGGAAGAAGAGGGUAUGAUAUACAAGAAAUAAUAAAAUCUUCUGGUGCAAAACUCAUAAUUGGAAAUUUUGCUGUUAAAUUAUUAGAAACUCAUGAAAGCAAAAACAUAAUAACAGUAAAGGGGACUGCUGCGCAAGUAAAACUAGCUAUUAGUCAGAUAGAAAAUAAAAUUCAAGAGAUAAUUGGAUCUCCAAUGGAAUUGAUUAUCAAAAGAAUCUCUGAGUCGUCUAAAUCUACGAGUCAAAUUAGCAUAUCUAAUAACAUUUUAAGAUCUACUUUAGUACAAGUAGAUGGUUUAAUGCAAGUAUUUGUAACUGCGAUGGAAACGCCAAGCUUGUUUUGGAUUCAAGUGUGUAGUCCUGCACUCAUUCAAUUACAAAACUUGGUAUUUGAAAUGACACACUAUUACAAUAAAGAGGAAAAUCAAAAGUUUCAUAUUUUAAAAAAAAUGAUGCCAGGCAAAAUGGUAGCAGCUAAAUUUAAAUAUGACGGCAAAUGGUAUCGUGCGGAAAUAAUAUCCGUCAUGGAAUCUGAUGGAUUAUGCGAAGUUUUCUUUGUGGAUUAUGGAGAUAUGGAACUUGUCCCUACAGAUGAUGUAUUGGAACUUCGUACAGAUAUGUUGAGCUUACGGCAUCAAGCUGUGGAAUGUUCGUUAGCAAACGUGAAGCCACGAGAAAAUGAGUGGAGCCCUGAAGCUAGCGAUAAGUUUGCCGAACUUACCAAUCUAGCAAAGUGGGUAGAACUUACUGCUAAAGUUAAAGGCUACAAGGAACGUCCGAUCGGUUGCAGAGGAUCUCGAAAUCGUCAAAGUUCACUGAUUCCUUGCAUUCAUUUAUUAUACAACAACGAAUUUGGCAGUGAGGUCAACAUUGGGGACAGUUUAUUGCAAUUGAAAAUGGCUCAAGUCGAGGAAGAAGACUAUUCGGCAUUAAAUUCUGUGUUGUCUCAUGACAAGAGUGAUCUUUCAUUUCUUCCAUUUGUAUCUGAUUCAUAUUAUCUCGACUAAAUGCGACUUUAAUUGUGAUAAAACCUAUUUCAAUUUGAAGAUAUUCUAUUAACGACAUCAUAAAAAAGGGGAAACUUCGCCGUGCAUUUCAACGAUUUGCGGUCGUACCAAUUGACUUAGCGCGACAAUUGACUCACGAUGGGAUAAACAUGGUGCAAGAAAUGGCCAGAAGUAAUUGUCGGUUUCUUCUAGCAAGACUAGAAAGCUGCGGCGAAGCGAGACAUAUAAAACGACAACAACAGAGCUUCUCUCUUUAGUUGGACGAAUCGAAUUCCUGUUACUUUCAGCAUUACUACAAGGAUGAUGAAUAACUUGGUAAAUAACAAAUUUAUGUAAUUAUUUAAUUAUCACAUUUCUUUAUACUGAAUCAAACUGCGUUUAAAUAAACGAUUAUGUUUAUUA